rnacentral:rRNA from 1 species
GAUGAACGCUGGCGGCGUGCUUAACACAUGCAAGUCGAGCGAGAAGUUUUGAAAAGAUUCUUCGGAUGAAAUUUAAAAUGGAAAGCGGCGGACGGGUGAGUAACGCGUAGGCAACCUGCCCCAUACAAAGGGAUAGCAUUUGGAAACGAAUAUUAAUACCUUAUGAAACUUAACUAGUGCAUGCUAGGUAGGUCAAAGAUUUAUCGGUAUGGGAUGGGCCUGCGUCUGAUUAGCUAGUUGGUGAGGUAACGGCUCACCAAGGCGACGAUCAGUAGCCGACCUGGGAGGGUGGACGGCCACAUUGGAACUGAGACACGGUCCAAACUCCUACGGGAGGCAGCAGUGGGGAAUAUUGCACAAUGGGGGAAACCCUGAUGCAGCAACGCCGCGUGAACGAUGAAGGCCCUUGGGUCGUAAAGUUCUGUUCUAGGUGAUGAAAACUGACAGUAACCUAGGAGAAAGCCCCGGCUAACUCCGUG